rnacentral:rRNA from 1 species
UAUAUUCCUACGGGAAGCAGCAGUGAGGAAUUUUUCCCAAUGGACGAAAGUCUGAUGGAGCAAUACCACGUGAACGAUGAAGGUCUUCUGAUUGUAAAGUUCUUUUAUUUAGGAAAAAAAGCGCGCUAGGAAAUGAGCGCGCCUUGAUGGUACUAAUUGAAUAAGUGACAGCUAACUAUGUGCCAGCAGCUGCGGUA